UUUGCAUAAUAAGGUUACGUCAUAUCUUCAUCGCAUGGUUGAAAUAUUAGUAACAAGGGUAUUGCCCCAUCUCCCAAUGGCAUUAAACCAAUUGCUUGUGGAUAGUGAGGUAUGAUUUCAUCCAUCCCAGUUACUUUUUUCUUUCUAUUUUAAGAAUGGUAGG